rnacentral:rRNA from 1 species
GAUGAACGCUGGCGGCGUGCCUAAUACAUGCAAGUCGAGCGAACAGACGAGGAGCUUGCUCCUCUGACGUUAGCGGCGGACGGGUGAGUAACACGUGGAUAACCUACCUAUAAGACUGGGAUAACUUCGGGAAACCGGAGCUAAUACCGGAUAAUAUAUUGAACCGCAUGGUUCAAUAUUGAAAGACGGUUUUGCUGUCACUUAUAGAUGGAUCCGCGCCGCAUUAGCUAGUUGGUAAGGUAACGGCUUACCAAGGCAACGAUGCGUAGCCGACCUGAGAGGGUGAUCGGCCACACUGGAACUGAGACACGGUCCAGACUCCUACGGGAGGCAGCAGUAGGGAAUCUUCCGCAAUGGGCGAAAGCUUGACGGAGCAACGCCGCAUGAGUGAUGAAGGUCUUCGGAUCGUAAAACUCUGUUAUUAGGGAAGAACAAAUGUGUAAGUAACUAUGCACGUCUUGACGGUACCUAAUCAGAAAGCCACGGCUAACUACGUG